AUUGAACGCUAGCGGGGUGCUUUACACAUGCAAGUCGAACGGCAGCGCGGACUUCGGUCUGGCGGCGAGUGGCGAACGGGUGAGUAAUGUAUCGGAACGUGCCCAGUAGCGGGGGAUAACUACGCGAAAGCGUAGCUAAUACCGCAUACGCCCUACGGGGGAAAGCAGGGGAUCGUAAGACCUUGCACUAUUGGAGCGGCCGAUAUCGGAUUAGCUAGUUGGUGAGGUAACGGCUCACCAGGGCGACGAUCCGUAGCUGGUUUGAGAGGACGACCAGCCACACUGGGACUGAGACACGGCCCAGACUCCUACGGGAGGCAGCAGUGGGGAAUUUUGGACAAUGGGGGCAACCCUGAUCCAGCCAUCCCGCGUGUGCGAUGAAGGCCUUCGGGUUGUAAAGCACUUUUGGCAGGAAAGAAACGUCGCGGGCUAAUACCCCGUGGAACUGACGGUACCUGCAGAAUAAGCACCGGCUAACUACGUG
rnacentral:rRNA from 1 species